CUGGAUCUUAUGGUCCAAUUUUAUGUAUGUUUACUUGGCUGUAUUUCCACUAUGUUCAGUUGAUCAUAUACCCAAGUGCUAACAAUUGAUGGCAGCUUCAUGGUAUCUGCUCUCUCUUCUUGAGGUCCUUUAUAUUCACACUGGGCUUGUACAAGAAAGCCAUUCUAACACAUAACACCUUCAGAUAGAGGACUGCCCUUGACAUCCCUUCAGUGGCCACCUCUGUAUUCACAGGAUUGCUCACCUCAAAAUUGAACUGAGACCAGUCUGCCACAUCUUUAUAGCAGAUCCCAUAUUUCUUGAGCAGCUGGCAAUGAUGCUGCAAGUGACAAGUGCUGGGCAGAAUAGACCUUUGAUCUUUCCUAGUAAGCUGGAUUUUACAUGGACAAGCUUCCAAUUCUGAAGGCCUUGAGUCUACUAUCUCUAAAGGACUUGGAUAUGAUCUCAAGGGCAGUGAAUGACCGAAUUUCCAUUAAUUGCGAAUGUAGAGGUGAAGAUCCCCAGGAUAUCAGGUGUAUGACCAUUGCAUCCAAAUGUGCAAAAAGCCACAAGCAGAGCAAUCGCACUUUAAUGAAAAAUAAAGUGU